GAUGAACGCUAGCGAUAGGCUUAACACAUGCAAGUCGAGGGGCAGCAUGGUCUUAGCUUGCUAAGACUGAUGGCGACCGGCGCACGGGUGCGUAACGCGUAUGCAACUUGCCUCACAGAGGGGGAUAACCCGUCGAAAGACGGACUAAUACCGCGUACACUCCAUCUUGGGCAUCCAAGGUAGAGGAAAUGAAAUUCGCUGUGAGAUAGGCAUGCGUCCCAUUAGCUAGUUGGUGAGGUAACGGCUCACCAAGGCGACGAUGGGUAGGGGAACUGAGAGGUUGAACCCCCACACUGGUACUGAGACACGGACCAGACUCCUACGGGAGGCAGCAGUGAGGGAUAUUGGUCAAGGGGCGAGAGCCUGAACCAGCCAAGUCGCGUGAAGGAUGACUGUCUUAUGGAUUGUAAACUUCUUUUAUACGGGAAUAACAAGAGUCACGUGUGACUCCCUGCAUGUACCGGAUGAAUAAGCAUCGGCUAACUCCGUG
rnacentral:rRNA from 1 species